UACGGAGGGUGCAAGCGUUAUCCGGAUUCACUGGGUUUAAAGGGUGCGUAGGUGGGCAAGUAAGUCAGUGGUGAAAUCUCCGGGCUUAACCCGGAAACUGCCAUUGAUACUAUUUGUCUUGUAUACUGUGGAGGUCAGCGGAAUAUGUCAUGUAGCGGUGAAAUGCUUAGAUAUGACAUAGAACACCAAUUGCGAAGGCAGCUGGCUACACAAAUAUUGACACUGAGGCACGAAAGCGUGGGGAUCAAACAGG
rnacentral:rRNA from 1 species